GUCGAACGGACCCUUCGGGGUUAGUGGCGGACGGGUGAGUAACACGUGGGAACGUGCCUUUAGGUUCGGAAUAGCUCCUGGAAACGGGUGGUAAUGCCGAAUGUGCCCUUCGGGGGAAAGAUUUAUCGCCUUUAGAGCGGCCCGCGUCUGAUUAGCUAGUUGGUGAGGUAAUGGCUCACCAAGGCGACGAUCAGUAGCUGGUCUGAGAGGAUGACCAGCCACAUUGGGACUGAGACACGGCCCAAACUCCUACGGGAGGCAGCAGUGGGGAAUCUUGCGCAAUGGGCGAAAGCCUGACGCAGCCAUGCCGCGUGAAUGAUGAAGGUCUUAGGAUUGUAAAAUUCUUUCACCGGGGACGAUAAUGACGGUACCCGGAGAAGAAGCCCCGGCUAACUUCGUGCCAGCAGCCGCGGUAAUACGAAGGGGGCUAGCGUUGCUCGGAAUUACUGGGCGUAAAGGGCGCGUAGGCGGACAUUUAAGUCAGGGGUGAAAUCCCAGAGCUCAACUCUGGAACUGCCUUUGAUACUGGAUGUCUUGAGUGUGAGAGAGGUAUGUGGAACUCCGAGUGUAGAGGUGAAAUUCGUAGAUAUUCGGAAGAACACCAGUGGCGAAGGCGACAUACUGGCUCAUUACUGACGCUGAGGCGCGAAAGCGUGGGGAGCAAACAGGAUUAGAUACCCUGGUAGUCCACGCCGUAAACGAUGAUUGCUAGUUGU
rnacentral:rRNA from 1 species